UCGGGAAUUUUGGGCAAUGGGGGAAACCCUGACCCAGCAACGCCGCGUGAAGGAUGAAGUAUUUCGGUAUGUAAACUUCGAAAGAAUAGGAAGAAUAAAUGACGGUACUAUUUAUAAGGUCCGGCUAACUACGUGCCAGCAGCCGCGGUAAUACGUAGGGACCAAGCGUUGUUCGGAUUUACUGGGCGUAAAGGGCGCGUAGGCGGCAUGACAAGUCACUUGUGAAAUCUCUGGGCUUAACCCAGAACGGCCAAGUGAUACUGUCGCGCUAGAGUGCAGAAGGGGCAAUCGGAAUUCUUGGUGUAGCGGUGAAAUGCGUAGAUAUCAAGAGGAACACCUGAGGUGAAGACGGGUUGCUGGGCUGACACUGACGCUGAGGCGCGAAAGCCAGGGGAGCAAACGAGAUUAGAUACCCGAGUAGUCCCUGAGCGGGCUGGCAAGGCGCAU
rnacentral:rRNA from 1 species